GACGAACGCUGGCGGCGUGCCUAGUACAUGCAAGUAGAACGCUGAAGGAGGAGCUUGCUUCUCCGGAUGAGUUGCGAACGGGUGAGUAACGCGUAGGUAACCUGCCUGGUAGCGGGGGAUAACUACUGGAAACGAUAGCUAAUACCGCAUAAGAGUAGAUGUUGCAUGACAUUUGCUUAAAAGGUGCAAUUGCAUCACUACCAGAUGGACCUGCGUUGUAUUAGCUAGUUGGUGGGGUAACGGCUCACCAAGGCGACGAUACAUAGCCGACCUGAGAGGGUGAUCGGCCACACUGGGACUGAGACACGGCCCAGACUCCUACGGGAGGCAGCAGUAGGGAAUCUUCGGCAAUGGACGGAAGUCUGACCGAGCAACGCCGCGUGAGUGAAGAAGGUUUUCGGAUCGUAAAGCUCUGUUGUAAGAGAAGAACGA
rnacentral:rRNA from 1 species